rnacentral:rRNA from 1 species
AGGACGAACGCUGGCGGCGUGCUUAACACAUGCAAGUCGAGCGGAAAGGCCCUUCGGGGUACUCGAGCGGCGAACGGGUGAGUAACACGUGAGCAACCUGCCCCUGGCUCUGGGAUAGCCUUCGGAAACGGGGAUUAAUACCGGAUAUUCACUGCUUCCUGCAUGGGGGGUGGUGGAAAGUUUUCGGCUGGGGUGGGCUCGCGGCCUAUCAGCUUGUUGGGGGGUGACGGCCCACCAAGGCGACGACGGGUAGCCGGCCUGAGAGGGCGACCGGCCACACUGGGACUGAGACACGGCCCAGACUCCUACGGGAGGCAGCAGUGGGGAAUAUUGCGCAAUGGGCGGAAGCCUGACGCAGCGACGCCGCGUGCGGGAUGAAGGCCUUCGGGUUGUAAACCGCUUUCACCAGGGACGAAGCGAGAGUGACGGUACCUGGGGAAGAAGCGCCGGCUAACUACGUGCCAGCAGCCGC